UUUUGGUGGUCUUCCGUUCAACUGACUGCUAGAGCUAUAAAGCUGCUUUAGUUUACUUUGUUUCAGAUAAUUAAGGGAUGGCAAAGCCAUAACUGAAAGUCACUUCAAAAUCUCAUGGGAUCAUUUGUUUUUUUACUCUGUAAUAAUAAAUCAUCAAGCGAUUCUGCCACAGGUUACAUCACCCCUUGACUGGAUUCAAAACAUCUGUUUACUGUUGGAUUCUAUUCUGAAUUCUUUGCAUAUUCUUCCUACUGGAGGGUCUUCAACUCUUAAAAGAUAUUAGCUGACGUCAAGUUAGAUUCUGCUUACUUCUCAUCAGUCACUGAGUUCUACAGUCCCAGUUAUGAAGUCAUCCUAAUGAGGAUAUCGUGCAUUACGUUAUGUAAGUCAAGGAGGAUACCAAAGUGAUUCCAUUACAAACUCAAAGCCUAUGACGGGGGAAAAAAUACAAAAGAAAAAAUCAUAGUACAACAUGUUAAAUGCUGUCCCAGGUGAGGAUGUACCAAGUGCUACCAAAAUUCAGAAGGAGGAACCGUGCCUGAAAGACUGAGGCCAUAAACAAGUCAUCGCCAGGCAAGCUUUACACAAAGUUAACGAGGCCGUCAGAGAAGGGCUUAAAUCGGUCGCUGAAAUCCAAGUGCAGAUGGGGCUUAGAGAGAUUAAGCAAUUUGCUCAAGAUGCUGGUGGAACCAAAAUUCAAAGCCAGGCAGAUGGCCCUGAUUCCAGAAUCUAAUUCUUAACCAUUGUGCUCUACUGCUGAAGGCAAAGGAAAACUAUGCGAGAGGUUGCAAAAGGCACCUGCACAGAUUGCAGUUCAAGUGAACAGUGUGAAAUGUCUGGCAGGUUCACAAUAUACCUUCUCUUACACCAACACAAAUAACUCUAGCAUCAUCUCAGACCCAAAGCCUAUCUCAACUACAUAAGGUAAGACUGGA